AGCAGCAGCCACGGGAAUACGUAGGGUGCAAGCGUUAAUCGGAAUUACUGGGCGUAAAGCGUGCGCAGGCGGUUUGUUAAGACAGAUGUGAAAUCCCCGGGCUCAACCUGGGAACUGCAUUUGUGACUGGCAAGCUAGAGUCUGGCAGAGGGGGGUGGAAUUCCGCGUGUAGCAGUGAAAUGCGUAGAUAUGCGGAGGAACACCGAUGGCGAAGGCAGCCCCCUGGGCCAACACUGACGCUCAUGCACGAAAGCGUGGGGAGCAAACAGGAUUAGAUACCCGAGUAGUCCCUGUCUCUUAUAC
rnacentral:rRNA from 1 species